AGAGUUUGAUCAUGGCUCAGGACGAACGCUGGCGGCGUGCUUAACACAUGCAAGUCGAGCGGAAAGGCCCUUCGGGGUACUCGAGCGGCGAACGGGUGAGUAACACGUGAGUAACCUGCCCCUGACUCUGGGAUAAGCCUGGGAAACCGGGUCUAAUACCGGAUAUGACCACUCCGGGCAUCCGGUGGUGGUGGAAAGUUUUUUCGGUUGGGGAUGGGCUCGCGGCCUAUCAGCUUGUUGGUGGGGUGAUGGCCUACCAAGGCGACGACGGGUAGCCGGCCUGAGAGGGCGACCGGCCACACUGGGACUGAGACACGGCCCAGACUCCUACGGGAGGCAGCAGUGGGGAAUAUUGCGCAAUGGGCGGAAGCCUGACGCAGCGACGCCGCGUGGGGGAUGACGGCCUUCGGGUUGUAAACCUCUUUCGGCAGGGACGAAGUUGACGUGUACCUGUGGAAGAAGCGCCGGCUAACUACGUGCCAGCAGCCGCGGUAAUACGUAGGGCGCGAGCGUUGUCCGGAAUUAUUGGGCGUAAAGAGCUCGUAGGUGGCUUGUCGCGUCUGCCGUGAAAGCCCGUGGCUUAACUGCGGGUCUGCGGUGGAUACGGGCAGGCUAGAGGCUGGUAGGGGCAAGUGGAAUUCCUGGUGUAGCGGUGAAAUGCGCAGAUAUCAGGAGGAACACCGGUGGCGAAGGCGGCUUGCUGGGCCAGUUCUGACGCUGAGGAGCGAAAGCGUGGGGAGCGAACAGGAUUAGAUACCCUGGUAGUCCACGCUGUAAACGUUGGGCGCUAGGUGUGGGGGUCUUCCAUGGUUCCUGUGCCGUAGCUAACGCAUUAAGCGCCCCGCCUGGGGAGUACGGCCGCAAGGCUAAAACUCAAAUGAAUUGACGG
rnacentral:rRNA from 1 species